rnacentral:rRNA from 1 species
CAGGCCUAACACAUGCAAGUCGAGCGGAGUUAUUUUGAAAGCUUGCUUUCAAAAUAACUUAGCGGCGGACGGGUGAGUAACACGUAGGCAACCUGCCCCUUAGACUGGGAUAACUACCGGAAACGGUAGCUAAUACCGGAUAAUUUCUUUUUUCUCCUGAAGAAAGAAUGAAAGACGGAGCAAUCUGUCACUGAGGGAUGGGCCUGCGGCGCAUUAGCUAGUUGGUGGGGUAACGGCCCACCAAGGCGACGAUGCGUAGCCGACCUGAGAGGGUGAACGGCCACACUGGGACUGAGACACGGCCCAGACUCCUACGGGAGGCAGCAGUAGGGAAUCUUCCGCAAUGGACGAAAGUCUGACGGACGCAACGCCGCGUGAGUGAUGAAGGUUUUCGGAUCGUAAAGCUCUGUUGCCAGGGAAGAACG